CUUUUGAAAUCGCAGGAGCCCUUUGUCUUGUGGGACCGGAUUGCUUCAUGGUCUGAAGCAGACCAGCGUCGCGUCGAUUGGUAACAGUUUUUCCUGUAGAUCCACGCUUUCAGACACCGAAAUUCUCCACCUAUCUGAGCUCUUCACAACCACGUUACGUCGCGUAUGCGUGGAUCCGCAUCGGAGAGGAGCGAUUUGUCUUUUAUUCAGACGAUCAGCAUUGGAAAUUGCUGCAUAUGGGCGAGGAAAUUGUAGCGGUGAGUUGAUGCUCGGCACCCAACGAGCCGUAGCAAGCCGAAGAGCUCCGUCCGAAUUGGAUUGGAGUAACGCUGGUGGACUCUGAGUAGGAAAUAGGCGUGCUCCAGUGCACUGCGUGAGCUUCGCAAAAGCGACUGGUGGACAUUACAAGAGUGAUACAUUCCAAAGCAAUCCACAGUAACUUUCUGACGAGUUUUAGGAAUUUCGUAGGCAAUGCGCUCUCUCCGGUACUAUAGAUUGCAUAGCUUGUAGUGUUGUAGUACAUUGUACAUGCAGCGUCAUCGAACGUGAAGUUGCUGAUGGCCAUCGUCGACGUGAGCGCCUGCGCAUCGACUACUACUCGCGAAUGAUCGCAGCAUGGGAAGCAGAUGUGGGGAUUGCUCGGGAGUUUCUGGUGAAGGGGACUACGAAUUUUGGUAUAGGUAUCCGUAUCACCGUAGUGCAUAUAACAGCUGACAUGUAACAAUGACAUGUGAAAGGUUCAUGUCCAUAAUGUCAUCGUUAUAUGCAUUACGGUGAUGCUCGAGAUAUUCAGGUGAAUUGAAUGCUCAAACUCGGACAUCUAGUGUUUGAUUUUGUGGUAAUCUUCGGAUAUCACAUCUCUAUUCGGGCCGUUUCAGUAAGAGUUGCCUCUGGUAUACACAACUUGCCAAGAUGAUCCCCGUGGCAGUGGUGGUGCACCUGCUUGAGGAGUGUAGCAAUUUGGUUGUGCGGCUCCUGGCAUGGUCGGUUCGGGCAGCUCCUUUUUCCAGGCGUGUUCGGCAAGUGAUUCUCCGGAGGCUUUUGUCGGAUCCCUCUCCAACGUAAGUUGCUAGAGUUAAUAUCACUACAUAAAGAUAAGCCUACGAAGCUUCGAAAACCGAGACAUCAUGGUUCAUGAGGGUAUCAAGUUGAAAGCUCUCCAUAACCUAUUGCUGGAGAAGCCUGACACAUUGCAUCAAAGAAAAAGCAGUGGCAGAUAGGAACCUGAACAUGGAGCAGGAAACCUUUGUGCGGUGCUUCUUAACGACACAUUCCAGGUUCUUUUUACAUGGUAUUUUGACUAAGAAAUCCGAAGCUAACUAUCAGUCAGUUCUGGUGAGUGGUUUCCCCAAGUCCACCUUCUCGUAGCUGAGUCCCUCCGAACCGAAUGCAGCCUUAGCUUAUAAGAAUUGGUGAGGUCAAUCGUAGCAAUUAUAUAUUGUUGCUUUUCAAAAAAAUAUACUAAAGUGGGCAUAAGAAAAAGCAUCAGUGUUUUGGCCAUGUGUCUAGCAAAUGGUGGAGUAUGGAAAGCCCGUGGUGUUUAUAAACAGUUGACACAAAGGAUUGAGUGUGAAUAAAAGUACGUUUGACAAGAAGGGUCGUUCUGAAGCCUCCCAUCCGAUGGAUGAACCGAGGAGAAUGGACCCUCUUUCUAUCCCACUGAUGAAAAUGUCCUAGAAACAUUACAAGUGAUUUAUUUUUCUUCUCACUUUUUACUUUA